AGAGUUUGAUCCUGGCUCAGGACGAACGCUGGCGGCGUGCCUAAUACAUGCAAGUCGAGCGGACCGACGGGAGCUUGCUCCCUUAGGUCAGCGGCGGACGGGUGAGUAACACGUGGGUAACCUGCCUGUAAGACUGGGAUAACUCCGGGAAACCGGGGCUAAUACCGGAUGCUUGAUUGAACCGCAUGGUUCCAAUCAUAAAAGGUGGCUUUUAGCUACCACUUACAGAUGGACCCGCGGCGCAUUAGCUAGUUGGUGAGGUAAUGGCUCACCAAGGCGACGAUGCGUAGCCGACCUGAGAGGGUGAUCGGCCACACUGGGACUGAGACACGGCCCAGACUCCUACGGGAGGCAGCAGUAGGGAAUCUUCCGCAAUGGACGAAAGUCUGACGGAGCAACGCCGCGUGAGUGAUGAAGGUUUUCGGAUCGUAAAACUCUGUUGUUAGGGAAGAACAAGUACCGUUCGAAUAGGGCGGCACCUUGACGGUACCUAACCAGAAAGCCACGGCUAACUACGUG
rnacentral:rRNA from 1 species